GGGGAAUAUUGGACAAUGGGCGCAAGCCUGAUCCAGCCAUGCCGCGUGAGUGAUGAAGGCCCUAGGGUUGUAAAGCUCUUUCACCGGUGAAGAUAAUGACGGUAACCGGAGAAGAAGCCCCGGCUAACUUCGUGCCAGCAGCCGCGGUAAUACGAAGGGGGCUAGCGUUGUUCGGAAUUACUGGGCGUAAAGCGCACGUAGGCGGAUUGGUCAGUUAGGGGUGAAAUCCCAGGGCUCAACCCUGGAACUGCCUUUAAUACUGCCGGUCUUGAGUCCGAGAGAGGUGAGUGGAAUUCCGAGUGUAGAGGUGAAAUUCGUAGAUAUUCGGAGGAACACCAGUGGCGAAGGCGGCUCACUGGCUCGGUACUGACGCUGAGGUGCGAAAGCGUGGGGAGCAAAC
rnacentral:rRNA from 1 species